rnacentral:lncRNA from 1 species
GCAACCAAAAUACACUUAAUCAGCUCAGAAAACCCAAAUUAGCACAAUUACGAAUUUCCGACCAAAUUAAGCAGAAUUCAGAAAACGGGGAAAUAACAGACAAUUAAACACAAUUCCCUGGUUUAUUUAAGUGCAAUAAACUAAAUAUAGUUCAAGAAAUAACCACUCAUAAAAAUAGACCACACUUAGUCUUUUGCACUCCUGGGCAAAGCCAAGACGAAAACCAGGGAACUACUCAAACAUCAGGGAGGUGACACAGACUCAACACACAGAAAACAAAGAUUGACAAGGAAGGAAACAAACAGAAUUACACAAUUCUCAAGAACUUUGGACAAGGAAAAGAAGUAGACAAUAUCCAACAUAGAAUCAAGGAAAGCAAAUACUCAUGAAGUCAUCCAAGCAAAGCAAACAUAAUGAUUGAGUUUACAAGCAAGAAUACAAAGAAUAUCUCUCAAUGCACUCUCUUUCACCACUCAAAAUCAAUUACAACAAACAAGAGGUGAACAAUCCUCACACUCUCACAACCUAGAAAGCAAUCUCAACUUUCUAUCACCUUAGAGUAAUCCCAACUCUAAGAAAACCUUGAGAGAAAUCCUAACUCUCAAAUGAGAACAAACACAGUCCUCCCUCUGGC